CCAAUGUCCAACAAGCUCUCUUCUCAUCUUUCUGAAGGGACUGAACCAUUUCAUAGCAGGUAUGGUUGGAGGUGUGUGAAGGGAUUAAACAUCCAGAAGAAUUAGGGUACGACGGAUAGGGAAGGAGAAAAUAUGGUAAAGAUGGUGGAUUGUAGAAGCACUACCAGUUUCCUCGCGAGAAGGUCCGCCCUCCAACUUGUGCCGCG
rnacentral:lncRNA from 1 species